rnacentral:rRNA from 1 species
CCUACGGGGGGCAGCAGUGGGGAAUAUUGCACAAUGGGGGAAACCCUGAUGCAGCAACGCCGCGUGAAGGAAGACGGUUUUCGGAUUGUAAACUUCUGUUCUUAGUGAAGAAGAAUGACGGUAGCUAAGGAGCAAGCCACGGCUAACUACGUGCCAGCAGCCGCGGUAAUACGUAGGUGGCAAGCGUUAUCCGGAUUUACUGGGUGUAAAGGGAGCGUAGACGGAAAGGCAAGUCAGAAGUGAAAACCCAAGGCUCAACCAUGGG